ACCAGCAGCAGCGGCAAUUUUAGCAUCUUCGAUCGAUGAAAGCAGCACUCUGUCAGAUUCCAAAACCCAGAAGCAGAGGCAGAACAGCAUCUUCUUCCCUUGAUUCUCACGGCUCUUCUCUUCUCUGUACACAUGGUAGCAGUGGCUCUCUCUAGUGGCUGCUCGGACGGUGGACUCCACCCACGGCGACGACGACACUCUCUUCCACAAACCUUGGCAGCAGCGGUGAUGGAAGGGCAGCGUUGCUUCCUCUUCUCCCUCGCAAACUCCUCUCUCUCCCUCUCCUC